rnacentral:rRNA from 1 species
GAUGAACGCUGGCGGCGUGCCUAAUACAUGCAAGUCGAGCGAACGGACGAGAAGCUUGCUUCUCUGAUGUUAGCGGCGGACGGGUGAGUAACACGUGGAUAACCUACCUAUAAGACUGGGAUAACUUCGGGAAACCGGAGCUAAUACCGGAUAAUAUUUUGAACCGCAUGGUUCAAAAGUGAAAGACGGUCUUGCUGUCACUUAUAGAUGGAUCCGCGCUGCAUUAGCUAGUUGGUAAGGUAACGGCUUACCAAGGCAACGAUGCAUAGCCGACCUGAGAGGGUGAUCGGCCACACUGGAACUGAGACACGGUCCAGACUCCUACGGGAGGCAGCAGUAGGGAAUCUUCCGCAAUGGGCGAAAGCCUGACGGAGCAACGCCGCGUGAGUGAUGAAGGUCUUCGGAUCGUAAAACUCUGUUAUUAGGGAAGAACAUAUGUGUAAGUAACUGUGCACAUCUUGACGGUACCUAAUCAGAAAGCCACGGCUAACUACGUGCCAGCAGCCGCGGUAAUACGUAGGUGGCAAGCGUUAUCCGGAAUUAUUGGGCGUAAAGCGCGCGUAGGCGGUUUUUUAAGUCUGAUGUGAAAGCCCACGGCUCAACCGUGGAGGGUCAUUGGAAACUGGAAAACUUGAGUGCAGAAGAGGAAAGUGGAAUUCCAUGUGUAGCGGUGAAAUGCGCAGAGAUAUGGAGGAACACCAGUGGCGAAGGCGACUUUCUGGUCUGUAACUGACGCUGAUGUGCGAAAGCGUGGGGAUCAAACAGGAUUAGAUACCCUGGUAGUCCACGCCGUAAACGAUGAGUGCUAAGUGUUAGGGGGUUUCCGCCCCUUAGUGCUGCAGCUAACGCAUUAAGCACUCCGCCUGGGGAGUACGACCGCAAGGUUGAAACUCAAAGGAAUUGACGGGGACCCGCACAAGCGGUGGAGCAUGUGGUUUAAUUCGAAGCAACGCGAAGAACCUUACCAAAUCUUGACAUCCUUUGACAACUCUAGAGAUAGAGCUUUCCCCUUCGGGGGACAAAGUGAUAGGUGGUGCAUGGUUGUCGUCAGCUCGUGUCGUGAGAUGUUGGGUUAAGUCCCGCAACGAGCGCAACCCUUAAGCUUAGUUGCCAUCAUUAAGUUGGGCACUCUAAGUUGACUGCCGGUGACAAACCGGAGGAAGGUGGGGAUGACGUCAAAUCAUCAUGCCCCUUAUGAUUUGGGCUACACACGUGCUACAAUGGACAAUACAAAGGGCAGCGAAACCGCGAGGUCAAGCAAAUCCCAUAAAGUUGUUCUCAGUUCGGAUUGUAGUCUGCAACUCGACUACAUGAAGCUGGAAUCGCUAGUAAUCGUAGAUCAGCAUGCCACGGUGAAUACGUUCCCGGGUCU